CUAAAACUGUUGUUGUAAGUAGUUUGCUGUUUAGAUGUUCAAGAAUAAGUUUGUAGCCUCAGAUUCUGUUUUAUGCAGCUGAAACUGGCUUCGGCGAACCUUUAUGAUUUCCCUUGAGAAAUCCUUUAUACUCGUAUUGUUCGCUCUCAGAUGCAUGGCUGCAGCAGUUCACCUUGCUCCCUCAGAACAAUUUACUAAGAAUGUCAGCACUGGCUUCAGUGCUGCUGCCAAGAUAGCUCUGCUUUCUCAAGAUUGAAAAGUUGGGAAGUUAUAAAGGGUGAGUGACUGCAGGGCUUAUGCACAAGUGUGGGUGAACUGUUCAGAUAAAAACCAUCCUGAUCCUUUUUGCUAAAGAAAAUCUGAACUGAACAUUUCUGAGUAAUCAUUCCCAUAUGUAUCAUCAGCUGCUUUGUUAAACAGAUAUCACUUACAUCAAUAAAUUAUAGCCAAGGAUCGUUUGUUUUUCUGGACAGAUCCAAAAUGAGAUUGAGGUUUGAAUGAAACCCAGCUUGAUUUUUGUCUUGCCUGGGAUGGAAAGCAGGAGAUUUUUAUGGAUGAAGAAGUUGUGAUGCAUUUCUACAACUGCAAAAAGAAAAAAAACCAACAAAAAAAACCCAAACAAACCUGGCUUGGACAGGAAGAAGACAAUGAAAAAUCAUUGGGAAACUGCAGACAUUCCAAAAAAAAAUGACUCGAUGAAGAGAAGGAAACGAUUGUAACAAAGUAUUUAAUAAAGGGGCAGGGAAGUGAGGAAAAAGGCAUCUGCGCCCUGCCCAGUUCAGAUGCAGGAAUUGGAUGCAAAAGGCAAACAGAAAAGGUGCUGUGAAAGGUCAUUCGCUUUUGUACAUCUCAGUAUAUAUUGGGCAGAAAAUUUCAGUCUUAAAAGUUGAUGUCAGUGCAGACUGCUCCAACAGAGCAUUGUUACCGGCACUGGCUUUUCUGAAGAGGGAAAGGCUGUGACCAGGUCCUUGUCCUUUCUUGCCAGUUUUCCCAACUAUGGAGUGUGGCCAAAAGCUUUUCAACCUUUGAUAUGUAUA